rnacentral:rRNA from 1 species
CAGCCGCCGCGGUAAUACGAGGGGGGCAAGCGUUGUCCGGAAUUAUUGGGCGUAAAGGGCGCGUAGGCGGUUUGGCAAGUUUGGUGUGAAAUCUUCGGGCUCAACUCGAAGUCUGCAUCGAAAACUGCCGGGCUUGAGUAUGGGAGAGGUGAGUGGAAUUUCCGGUGUAGCGGUGAAAUGCGUAGAUAUCGGAAGGAACACCUGUGGCGAAAGCGGCUCACUGGACCAUUACUGACGCUGAGGCGCGAAAGCUAGGGGAGCAAACAGGAUUAGAUACCCCUGUAGUCCCUGUCUCUUAUAC